UGAUGAUGCAGUGGUCUGUUUCUCUCUCUCUGACUGGCGGUCGUGAUGUGCAGGAUAAACCAAGCAGCACUUCUCUUCAUUCAGCUUUUAGUGAUGUGUCAUGUCUUUGCAGAAAACCACAGGUCUACCUUUGUGUUCAGAGGAGGCUCAGUGACCCUGACUUGCAACAUAUCCAACAAAAAUGCAACACAAAUCUCCUGGACCAACGGCAGAUCUGUUUUCCAAUAUUCCGUUGUGCUGAACUGCACAUUUUCAAAUUUCUCAUUUUACAAACUGAAUAUAAAUCAUGAGUUACCUACAGAGCUAACUAUUUUUAGUGCUCAGCCUGAGGAUAAAGGACUUUAUACAUGUGCCAUAACUGGCAAAAAUGGCCUACACAGCAUUACGUGGAAUUUAACUGUGUCUGAGAAACCCACAGAAAAAUUAUGACGAAGAAACGGAAUCAAGGUCCAGACUGCAGUGAGAUUCCUCCUGAGUCAGAGGAGUUGGAGCUCCAUCAACCACAGGGUCACACUGCUCAUUGGAAAAAUAACAAGCGGAGGAGUCAGUAUAUGGAGAACCUGAAUUUAAUCUAUGAUCACUUCUAAGCUGAUGAGCCAUGCAGUUACACAGAGACAUGGACAUUUUCAUUUUCAAAGCAGGAACUGCAUGAGAACACAUCAGAGGAAAUGAAACAGAGCUACUAUAGCCUCUUUAGCUCAAGCAUGCAGGUGUCUGUGAAUGUACGGAGUUUUUCUCUUACACCUCUGAUUUAUCUGUAGCAGCAGCUUUACUUGCAUCCUGAAUCAUGUGUGUAAAACAUCCAUAACUUUGUAGUAUUAUAGUUUACUGUUCAUAUGUGAAAUCAUCCACUCAGUUUCCUGUGCACUGAUCAAUGUGACUGUGAAUCAGAUGUUGCCAUUGCCACCACUUUCAUGUGAACAUGCUCAUAGUUAAGGUAAACCUGGGUUUACUUACCAAGCUGAUAUUUGAUGUUGACCAGCUGAUUUUUUUCCAUGUAAAAAUAAAUCACGAGUUACCUACAACUAUUUUUAAUAACUAUAAUUAUUUUUAGCACUCAGUUUAUGUAUGCAGCAUAACUGAAAA
ensembl:lncRNA